rnacentral:lncRNA from 1 species
AAAAAAUCCAGUGAUCUUAUUACCAUAUGUAAUAGGAAAUUAUAAUAAUUUGGAAAGAUUUUCCCUAGGAAUAGCCUCAGAACUAGAAUAUCUGAGACAUACAUGAUAUUCAUCGUAGUUAAAUGUACAUGACUACAUAACAGCCAGGACUAAAGCUGUGUGGCUUUUGGUUAUUUGUUUUCAAGGUUAGUGGUUCCAACCCCUAACUGAUCAGACUCACUCAUGUUAAAAAUCUCAACCUCUAGAGAUCUUGAUGCAGAAAAUCUAAAAAUAUAUUUUAAGAAAUUUCUCUAGAUGGUUGUAAUGCUUGCCCAGCUUGUCCGGGACUUUUUUCCUGUUUUUAGUUUCUCCUUCUUUUAAAACAUUUUCAUUGUUGUAGCCUCUUCAUCAUGUGAGUGGUCUUUUGUGUUUUAGAAAAAUAGGAACAAAAUGGCUUGGGCUCCAGUAAGAACAAUGGUUGGUCCUUGAUUUCCAUGGGAAUUAUAUUUAUUUUUCGUUAUCCGUGGCUAACUUUUAAAUCCUGGGUUGUCAUUUCUUCCCCUUCAUCUAAGCAAUUAACAAGGUCAUUCAUUUAUGCAUUCAUUAAGCAAAAGAUGAAUACCUUCUAUGAGCUAGAAAUUAUGAGUACCACUGGGCAAAUGUAAAAUAAAUAAGAAGCUAUAUCUUGCCUUCUCACAAACACAUGACAUUGUAUUGUAAAAUGUUAGGUGUAUUAUGCAUAUGCACACUACAAAUGUGCAUGGUAGAGAUGUUAGAUGGACACUUAGCAGUGUGAAUGUGGAAGCAACCUCUUCCUUAAGAAUGAAGGAACAUACCAUAGAGGAAUCAGCCUUUCAUUUUGAUCUUAAGGAAUGUUUUUUAGAAGAGGAGGGGCAGGGCAUUAGAGCUUGCAUAGAGGCACAAGGAAUCCCAGUUUAUUCAGAGAACUGAAAGAAGUGCUGUAUGGUUAAGGUAUUAAAAUACGUAGUGAAAUUGGGUCCAAGAUAACAUUGAAAUGUAUGCUCAAGUCACAUCAAGGCCCUUCUUUGGAUGCCUUAUUAUAGAAUUCAAAUUUUUCCCUCUUCUAGAACAGUCCUUGAAUAUUCAAGUAAUGCCAUUUCAUUCUUGUAGUAUCAUUAAGCAGAUUUAUCUGACAUUCAAAAUACCAUUUUAAGGUCAAGGGUAAGAGUUUUGUGGCCUGUGCUUAUCUUCUUAAAUAUUCUCACAGGAUUUCCAUUCUACUUUAUCAGAUAAGUAUUUGAAAAUACAGCAAGAGAUAUCAAAGGAAUCUUUAUUUGCUGAGGAGUUAUGAGUAGUAUGAGAUCAAAGGAUAGAGACUAAAGUCAUUUGUCUGAAAAGGCUUUGAGGGUACAGAAGAGUGGCAGAGUUCAGUCUGAAGGAUGAGUCGGAUUCAGGUUCAGGUAGGAAAAGAGAAAAGUACUUUAAGAGGUGGAUGGAGCAGCAGCCUAAAUAGGCAAGGGUUAGAAAAAGGCUGGGGCAACAAGUUGAUGGCUGGCUGGAGCUAGAGUGUCAGGGCCCGUGAGGGAGUGUGGACAGUAAGGACACGUGGACUCUAAAGAAAUAAAACUUUCACAGAUAGUAUGAAUUUCUGAAUUGACUUAAUCCAUCCUAAAGAUCUCCCAAAAACUCAAAGCUCAGCUGAACUUUUAAAAAUAAAAAUUAGCUAAUAUGAAAGUAUUUCCUGGCAGUAAGAUACUUUCAAACUUUCACUAAUUGGCAGAGAUUUUCCAGCUUUAACCCAUGUUGUUUAAAUGCAAUGGAAAAAGCUUUAGAUAUCUUUUUAUGUUUGAUUUAAACUUCAUUUUCCCCCAAAAUGGGAAAUAUGGCCUUUGGCCCUGUGUGCACAAAAGUAGCACUAUUGUCACAUCUUCAUCUGCUAGAUGCCUGUGUUUUUAGUGGAUAUUCAUCAUUCAUUGUCUGCAAAUGCCAAUUUGCAAGGAUAAUUCUUUUCCUUGGGUCAAGAAUGAAACUAUAUAGAUAAAAGAGCCCCCAUUUCUUAAUCAUCAAAGAUUAAUAUAAAAAUAGUUUAUGAUAAACUUAGAAUCAUUAUUGUUUUGUAUAAGUUUUUCCAAAUAAGUAUUUUAAGUUUAAUUGGACUUUUCAUAUUAUUUUCUGAUUUUAAAAAGUGGCACUGCAUAACCAUUAAAAGGUUCAGAGAAAUAGUUAUAUGAAAGUAAGAGCAUUGAGACAACUUGAUAAUAUUUUUAUACAUUUUACUGCAAUAUUCUACACAUUUUUGAAAGAUUUUGUAGCCUACAAGAUGUUGAUGUACAUACUAUUUUCUACAUAGUUUUCUAAAAUGAUACAUAAAUAACAUUUCUUACUGGCUAUCUAAUAUUACUUUGAUAUAUUGAUAUACCACAAAGCAAUUUAACCACUCCACUAUUCUUAGUUUUUUUUUUUUUCUUUCCAUAAUGUGUGUGUGUUUAAGUUGGGGAGAAAUGUGCUUACACCAGAGGUAGGUCAUCUGAUCUACUGAUGCAGUGUGCAAGCAGAAAUGGAUGACAGAAGGGAUGUUCUUCCAUCCUUAUUUGUUUGUACCAGAACCUUCCAUUGUUUACAUACAUUUUAGCCUCAGUGCCAUUUUCAGAAGCUUUAUUUGUCUCACUUACUAUUUUGGUUUGGAUAAAGCUUAAAUAUAAAAAUCCAUCUGUGAAGCAUAUUGUAUAUUCACAUUGAAGGCUAAAAACCCAUUUUUAAUUAAAACUUUAUUCAGCACUCAUGGUUCACUUUGUCCUGCUUCUAUUAUGAAACACUUCAGUCUCCUUCCUAAAACACAUAUGUCUUGAACAUUUCAAGAUGUUCCUUGUUGUUCAGGCAGAACUAGUUUCUUUAUGCUGUCAGCUCACUGCCAUAUGUUCCAACUGUUCAUUUUGCUUCUCUUUCUGGCAUUUACGGAGGCAACAUCUUGUAUGUAAUUCAAGUUAGUUUCAUUCCCUUCUCUUUUAUGAAAUUUGUCAGAAAGUAGAACAGCAAACUGGAAGCACUGAAUAAUACUCUGGCAUGUUAUCUUAUACAUGGUUAUGAAG